rnacentral:lncRNA from 1 species
GCUCUCUCCACUCUCCAUCUAUCAUCAUCUACUCAAGCUUGUUUCUCUUGAACAUGUAAGAUUCUAAAAACCUUUUGAAAGUGUUUUGUUAUUAUAUGUAGAAAUUUGCAAUAUUCUUGCCUAUUAUUUGUGAAAAUAUACUUGGGAGUUUCAAGAUUUCAAUUCGUAUUCUAAUAGUUAAUUUUAUAGUGAAAAAUUAAGAAAAAAGUUAUUGCAAAACUCUUCGAAAGUUGCAGUAGCUUUUCAUUUUAAAUUACAAGUAACAUAUUUAUGUUGAGUGUACUGCAAAAUACAAGCUAUAUUUUUCUCAUAUCGAGACUCUGGAAAAGGCAUAUUGUUCUUCUACACAAGUAGGAGUACACUACUAGUAUGUACUAGUCGAUGCCCUAGUAUUAGCUAUUUCUUUUACCUUUCUUUGAUUAGUUUUUGGAUUUUACAAAAUAUUUAUAUUCUUUAUUCAUAUUGAGCAAUAGCUCUGUUUUUGUAAGUGACACACUUUAAUUUUUCAUUUUCCCAUAUGUUCAUAUAUUUAGGAUAUCUGACUUCCUCAUUAUAAAUGGACCCUUGUGUUUGUGACUACACGAUAUAAAUAUCUUUUGAAAUAAGAUGUAAAUAUUCACACAACUAAGAAAUUAAAAUUCAAGAGAUUGAUAAAAGUUGAAAACUGUUUCCAAAUAUUGGCAAAUUCUUAGAAAUUUUAGUAAAAUAGAUAAUCUUUGUCUAGAAAACAAGUGGUGUGGCUUAAAAUGAGGAAAAUAUAGCAUAUAUGGAAUAAAGCCAUCAAGCUUCAUUGGUCUAAUUUUUUCAAACUGGUAGUUGUUUAAAAGUUCUCUUUCAAUCUGUUUUUUAAGUUCUUGAUUAGUCUAAUAUCAGUAUUGGUAUUGAUUAGUCAUGUGGAAUUUAGCUUCCUCUAAACUAGAAGACUUCAAUUUUUUUACUGAUGGAUAACUUUAUUUGAUAUUUUGCAAAAUUCUUCAAGAUGUUGCUUUAUUUAUAUCUUGCAUAUUGAUGGGAGUGGUUCUAAAGUUUCACAGUUAUAACAAAGAGAAGAAAUACUCUAGAUUCUUUGCUUCUAUAAUGUAUAAACACUACUUUUACGUUUGUGUUUUCGUUGUUCUAAUUUACUUAUUGCUUGUUAUCCUUUAUCUUAAAUGUAUUAUGGUCCUUUAGAGCUGCAUAAUAAACUUUCGAAAGUAGUUUUUUCUGGAGCCGAUGGUCUUUCGGAAAUAGCCUCUCUACACCAUCUGUGUAGGCAUAAGGUCUGUGUACACUUUACCUUCCCAGAUCCAUCUUAUUGGAUUUUAUUGGAUUGUCGUUGUUGUUGUUGUUGCUUACCCGUAACUCCAAUGUAUUGCUUUUUAUUUUUCCGCUCUCAGCCAUUAUUUUCUACGGAAGAGAAAUUAGAAACAGAUAAGAGAAUGGUUGAUUCUCAGUGAUGAAUAGGUUAUGCACAUAUAAUGGGAGUAUUUAACACAUAUUGAUGUGCUGCAUGAUCUCAAAGUCACAGAUACUUGGAGUAAUAAGUAUUAAACGAACAAAAACGCCUUUUAGUAAAGCCUUUGUUGUAUAGUGUUGCUCUCCUUUAUUUAGAUCUUGCAUUAAGUUGUUUGAGUAAAAAUGAAGAAUUAUGCAGUUAAUGAAAUAACGACAGUAUAGUUCGGAUUUAUGAGAUUUCACUAGUAUCAAAUAAGUUGUGACAUGUUGUAUUAAAGUUGUGUCUGCUUCUACAGAUUUUUUUCUGCUAAAUAUAAAUAUUUUUUCCUAUUUUUAAUCUUUUGUAUUAUUUGUCUCAGUCUGCUACUUCUACUUUCAUCAGUCAUGUAUUAUUUUAUAUUUCAGCUAUGGAACAAUCUAGUGAAAAUUCAAGAGCGAGUUGAAAAAAUAUGAACUUAGUAAAAAUAUUUUUAGAAAGUUGUAUUCAAGAGAUAUCCUUAAACGGGAGACUUGGAAGUAGUUUGAAGGCAAAUUCAUUAUGACGACCCAAAGGGUCAUCACCUAUUUUUUUAUUCAUUCUGUGUCUCCGAGGCCUUCAAAACCUCAUUUAGGGUUGCUUCGAUUUGCGUGCGCAGUCAGGACGCAUAGCCGAAAAGCUUAAAUAUAAAUUCUGUGAGGAAAAUUCUAAAUUUUGAUACUAAAUUGAAUAAAUUUGACUUCGGUCAAUAUUUUGGAUAAACAGACCUGGACGCGUAAUUUGACGGUCCCGGAGAGUCCGUAGAAAAAUAUGGGACUUUGGUGUAUACCCAGAAUCGAAUUCCGAGGUCCCAAGCUUGAGAAAUAAAUUUUUGAGUAAAAUUAUUUUCUGGAAAUAAUUAUGAAAAUUGAAAAUGAAAUUUGAUUAGAAGACUAUGGUAUCGGCCCGUAUUUUGGUUCCGGCGCCCGGUACAAGUCUUAUAUAUAGUUUACGCGCUUUCUGUAAAGUUUGAUUGAAGACGGACGUCGUUUGACGUGUUUCAGACUUAAAAUAAAAAUUUGAUAUUUUAUGAAAACUUGAUAGAAAUUGUGAAUUUUGAGGCUUAAUUCGAUGUAUAUGAUGUUAUUUUGGCGAUUUAAUCGCGUGAGUAAGUCCGUAAAAUAUUUUUGAGAUUGUAUAUAUGUUUAGUCGGGAGCCCCGAGGGCUUGUGAGUUUUGGAUAGGUGUCGAGUUGCAUUUUGAACUAAACAGUUGCAGAAAAAUGUGUUGGUAUGAACAAGCUUCUUAGCUUCACAUUUGCGAAGCCUAGUUCGCAAAUGCGAACUCGUAAAUGCAAAAUUAGCCAGGCAUGCCUUGGAUCACAAAUGCGAUAAAUCCAUUCGCAAAUACGAAGGUUGGACGUUCGCAAAUGCGAUACAUUUGUCGCAAAUGCGAAGUCCUCCAGUUGGUUCUGAGACCAAUAAAUGUGGAAGGAAUUGCGACCAAUAAAUAUUGUAGAGCGUUGGCUCCAGUUGCAUAACGAAUUUUGGAAGUAUAAGUGGUAAUUUAAACUCUAUAGUAUUGGCUCGAGUUGCGAAGUGAAUUAUAAAGUGAAAGUGAGAAAGAGAAGAGAACACUAUAUUGCCCCUUGCCGGUCUAUUGUUAUGUUGAUGGUUCCUUGUUUAGGUGUUGUAAUAAUUUUAGUUGUAGCUAAAGUAAUUAUAUGUUGAAAUGAGAAUGGUCAUAGCUGAAGUAUUUAGAUGUUGUAACAAGUUUAAUUAUCGUCGGGGUAGUUAGGUGUCGGAACGAGCUUGAUUACAGUUGAGGUUGUUAGAUGUUGGGGCAAGUUUGGUUAUAGUUGUAGUAGUUAGUUGUUGGAACAAGUCUGGUUAUAGUUGAUUCUCCCUUGCUGGGGCGUUUGAAUUGUUGUUAUUGUUUCCCUUGCCAGAAUUAUAAUGUGUAUUAUGUUAGAAGUAACGGGAUCGGGUGGUACGCCUGCCACAAGAUAUUGAUUGAAAUAGGAUCGAGUGGUACGCCUACCACAAGAUAUUGAUUGAAAUGGGAUGGGGUGGUAUGCCUACCACAAGAUAUUAAUUGAAAUGGGAUCGGGUGGUACACCUACCACAAGAUAAUGAUUGAAAUGGGAUCGGGUGGUACGCCUACCAUAAGAUGUUAAUUAUAAUGGGAUCAUGUGGUACGCCUAUGAUUGAAAUGGGAUCGGGUCAUACCACAAGAUAUUGAAAUGGGAUCGGGUGGUACGCCUACCACAAAAUAUUAAAAUGGGAGCGGGUGGUAUGCCUAUCACAUGAUAUUAUGAAAUGGGAGCGGGUGGUAUGCCUACCACAAGAUAUAAGAAAUGAGAUCGGAUUGCACGCCUGCAACAAGAUGAGCUGAGUACGAAAGAUGUCUUACUUCCUAAUUUCGUGUUAGAAGGUUAAUUGUAGAUAUUUAUCUUGUUACUCUGAUAUUUUGUUUCUACCUGUUGCCCUUAAAGCAUGUUCCCUUCCCCAGAAUUAGUUGUUUAUUUCUGUUGUUUCUCCAUAUAUUUGUGUAUAUAUAUCUGUACAGGUUUAUCUGGAGUCUGGUCCUAGCCUCGUCACUACCCGCUGGGGUUAGGCCAAACACUUAGCAACACAUGGGGUCGGUUGUGCUGAUGCUACACUCCGUGCUAUUUUGCACAGAUCCAGGUGCCGGAGUAACAUAUUAAGCAGCAGUACUAGAUUGGGAGCCAACCUUCAGUCCACCGAGACACCGAGGUAGCCCUCCAGGCGUCCGCGGGCCUGAUAUCUCUAUCCAUAGUUUAGUCUGUUAUCUCUUUGUAUUCGAAACAAACAAUUAUAUUUUUUUCCAGACGAUUGUAUUUAACACUCUUAGUAGUUCGUGUGUAUUGUGAUACCAGUCUUGGGUAGAGGCUUAUAUUGAAUAUUCCAC